GUAAUAGAAUGUGUAAUUAAUAUUACAGAUAAUCAAAACAAUAAUAACAUCCCACACAAUUAAACAAGAGUUUGUGAGUUCACAUGAUCAGGAGAAGAUCAGUAAUUUCCUAGCUCAAACAUAAACCUAAUUAAAUCAUUGUGUGUAAAGAAUUUGGGGUAAAGAUGACGUUAAUUAAGUGUAUGGGGUCACGCAGGCGUCGUGAAUCAGGUGUGUCAUGUUUACAAGCAAUGCAAACAUCGUAAACAGAUGUAUGACUUCUUCAGUUAACGUUAAUCAGGUGUCGUUAAUUAGGUUCAUGACCUCCUACAGUAGGCGCUAAUUAGGAGUUGCAUGCUGACAACGAAAUUUCACUGCUUAAACUACAGUAUAAAAACCUUCCACCAGAUUUACCGAUAUCCCGUUUAUCCUCUGUUUGAAAUUAAGUUGUUAAAAUUUUGACUUCAAGCCGCAUAUCACAAAUAUGUACAGCAUGAUUCACGUGCAUGAAUUGACUUAUUUGCUGUUUAAUGAGGUCUUGUAGUUUAGAUUAUCUUGCCGUGCAUGCAGUGAGAAAGUUAUUGACUUGUUUUUUAAAUUUAUCCUUUAAUUAGUUUCUCACGGGUCAUAGUUUUUCGGUCAACUGCUAUCUCGAAAGCCAGUUUCACAAAACCCCCAGAUAUACUGAGAUUGGGUGUAUCAAGCCGUAUCUGACAUGAAAAUAAAAUCAGCAGGAAAUAAGCUUAUUUCUGAUACGGCACCAGUUUGUCGGGCACGUGGAGUGACUCAGUCACGAGUUGCCGUCACUUGAUAGAUAACGUGACCUAUAUGAUCUUUAAAAUACAGUACUCAAUAAAUAUCAAUAACCAAAUUGUCACGUGACCAAAGUGCGCUGUCCAAUAGCAGUUAGGUAAGCUGUCAUGUGGCAACCACGAGAGUAACACGAUGGUAGCAGCAUGGCAGGAUGCUCAUUGGACAAUGAACACUUUGUGUCGGAAGUAGAUACAGUUUUUUGCCUAUUUGAUACCAGGUCAGGAGUUCUAUAACUUACCAUAGUACAUAUGUGUGUCGCGUAUGUGAGCACAAAACUGUGCUCUUUGGUUCACCUUGCUUACUUUUCACUUCCCUUUAUGUUUUGGAUAUGUAUUCAACACAGAUAUUAUUGAAUUAUUAUCAUAUUAUUAUUAUAUACUGAGGCUCUGUUCUUUAUUUCUUAUAGUUUGCAGUCAUAGUCUGUCUUCGUUUUAAUUUUCUUUCUGUUGUAGUUGCAUAAAUGUAUUUCAAGAUCUUCUAAAUUGAUGCAUUUUACAUCUUGAGUCCCCGAGCAUAGCUAAACUAUUUUUCUGUUGUAAAUGUACACGUUCUAAAAACCUAGAAACACACUAACAGCAAACCAUUCUUAAAUGGUAGAUAUUAGCUGUAUGUGGGCAAAGUUGUUUUAAAAUGCUUCUCCUACAUAGCCGUAGCCAAUAGCCAUGUCAUGUUGAUCCUUAGAUUAGUAAGAAAUUGUACUAAUAAAUAUAUCAGAAUGAGUCUGUGUGACGAGGAAUACACCGUAGAUCAACUCUACGAUAUUUCACUGCAUCCCGACAAACUGAAGUCCUAUCCUGGCUUCCAAAACUUGCACAAAUUGACGUCUGGUACUAUGAAUUUUCACUACGAUCUACCAUACGACGAUAUAAAGGAAUUUGUAGAGGAGGAGAGGAAAACUGUUUUAAGUAAAGUCCCGGAAGAUGUGAUAAAAAGCAAUGGAGUAAAGUGGGAGCAUGUUGGAUCUACUUCCAUUAAAGGCAUGCCAGGGACGAUAUUUCCAGAUUCCUUAAUCCUUUUUGACUGCCUACCGAUUCCAAAACCUAUUUUCACUGCCCUUAUAGAUUCAGGAUUCUUGUUCGUCGGCUCCAGUCCUCAUCACCAAGAUGAUAUUUGGUUCAUAAAGCAGAUAACUAGAGAUGGGUCAAGACUGGACAAACAAUUCUUUAAAAUACACGUUACUCCAGCAACCUUAGGGCUAUCAAGAGUUUUGGUUGAAACCAGAGACAGAUGCAAUGAAAAUCAAACAGAUUUUGAGACCUAUAAGGAGGCAAAAGUGAAAGCAGCAAAACACUUGAAGGAAGGAAACUCAUUGGGUUACAAGAAGGUAAAAGGAUCAAACAAGCUUUUUGCAGAGCUUAAUGAAAAUAAUCCCAACUAUUCCGUACAGGGAAAGUAAACCUCAGAGCAGUUUGACAAAUCACCCGCGACAGGAUGAAGGAUAAUUAAUUUUAAGCUAUCAUGUUUUAAAAUUUUAUAUAAAGUUGAUUAAUGUGUCGUGUAGGAUAUAUUUAUGAGUCAAUACUUUACAUUGGAAGUUUCAUCUUAGAUUGAUUUGGAUUUCUAUUUUCGCCACUGCGAAAAUCCAAAUUUUGAUUUACUUUGGUUUGAAAAGUUGCUAAUAUAUCAAAGUUAUUUUUAAUAUGUAUUUUAACAUGUAAUAAUUUAUCUACAAAUUAUAACAAAAA